rnacentral:rRNA from 1 species
UACGUAGGGUGCAAGCGUUGUCCGGAAUUAUUGGGCGUAAAGAGCUCGUAGGCGGCCUGUCGCGUCGGCUGUGAAAACUCAGGGCUCAACCCUGAGCCUGCAGUCGACACGGGCAGGCUGGAGUCCGGCAGGGGAGACUGGAAUUCCUGGUGUAGCGGUGAAAUGCGCAGAUAUCAGGAGGAACACCGGUGGCGAAGGCGGGUCUCUGGGCCGAUACUGACGCUGAGGAGCGAAAGCGUGGGGAGCGAACAGG